rnacentral:lncRNA from 1 species
GGGUCACAGUUCUCAGAACCAAACAGAACCACCCAAGUUGCGUUCGAAAGUGGAGAUCAAGACGGAUAAAAUUAGCAACUUACCAAGUGAUGUUACAGAAAAAUUUUUGUUACUUUUGCCAAUUAGGGAUGCAGUGAGGACAAGUGUCUUAUCAAGAAAGUGGAGAUACAAAUCGGCUAUGCUUCCACAUCUUAAGUUCGAUAGUCUGUCUGUAUCAACUGUAAAGCAGACAACCUUUGCAAACAUCGUUGAUCAAGUACUCUUACUUCACAUUGGCCCCAUAUGCAGUUUCCUGCUUUCUCGUCCCGAUGAUUUUCUAGCAAACAGUGAUAUUGAACGAUGGAUUCUUCAUCUAUCAAGAAACUCUAUCAAAGAGUUCACACUUGAAAAUUGGAAAAGUCAUCUCUACGAGAUGCCUUCAUGUUUCUUCUCCUGUCAAGAUAUGACUCAUUUAGACUUAUAUAGGUGCUUGCUACAGCCUCCAUCAACAUUCAAAGGCUUUAGAAGUUUGAAGAGUCUUUGCAUGGAGAAUGCUACCUUGGCCCAAGAUGUGUUUAAGAAUUUGAUUGUUUGCUGUCCUCUGCUUAAGACACUCCGUUUGCUAAACUGCGAUGGUUUACGUCAUCUCAAGAUGGAUGCACCGAAACUAGAAUUACUUGAGGUUGAGGUUGAUGAAGGUGUUUUUGAGAUGGUUAAUCUUCAGAAUACCUUAAAUCUUGCUGAUGUUUCCAUUACUUUGGCCAUCAAUGAUGACUUAAGACAGGUUCCUGACAGCAAUUUAGUCCAAUUUUUUGUUCACUUUCCUCAUAUUCGAAGGCUCACAUUUGGAAGAAACUUUUUAAAGGUAAUUGGUAGUGUGUUUUUGUGGUUUCACACACUUAAUUUAAAGACCAUUUACACUGCUAUGGGAAUUGGAGCUUAUUCAUUGAGUCUGCUGUUUUAUGCAUCUUUGCGUCUCCAGUAUUUGGCUGUUCGUGCCUUGCCAGGAAAGCUGCCUCAACCAUGCCUAUGUCUGAAGUUUCUUUCUAUUAGCAUCCGCUUUAAAGCUCUAAAGGAGAUUUUAGCAGCUCUUUGCCUUCUGAGAAGCUCCCCUGCCCUACAAGAACUUGAAAUUUUUGUGAGUUUCAUUCUAUCAACCACUGCAAUAUUGCUAUGUUGAAUUCACAAUUUCAAAACAACUGCACUCCAUGAUAUUGUAGAUUACAGAGCUGUUUUCCUAAAAGUUCAUGAUUCUGAUGUUAUAUAUCUUGUUUAGGCUCACCACGAAGAUCGGGAUGUUGUGGGAGAAGUGAACUCUUGGUUAGAUGACAAUCAGAAUUGCCAAUUCACUGAACUCCAGCGUGUGAAAAUGAUAAGCAUGUCUGGUGGCAAACAUGAACUAGAUUUCAUCAGAUUUCUGCUUCUAAGUUCCCCUGUGCUUGAGAGGAUGACUGUUAAGCCAGCUUCUUACAACGGUUCUUCUGAACUUUUAAAAAAGUUGUUCCGGUUUAGGCGUGCCUCAUUGUGUGCUGAGAUAAUCUACUUGGACCCAUGA